ACGGGGUGCAGCAGGCGCGAAAACUCCGCAAUGCGCGCAAGCGUGACGGGGGAAUCCCAAGUGCCGUUGGUCUUAUGAUCGACGGUUUUUAGGAAGUCUAAGAAGCUUCCAGAAUAAGGGCUGGGCAAGACUGGUGCCAGCCGCCGCGGUAACACCAGCAGCCCAAGUGGUGACCACGAUUAUUGGGCCUAAAGCGCUCGUAGCCGGAUCAGCAAGUCCCUUGUGAAAUCGGGCCGCCUAACGGUUCGGCGUGCAAGGGAUACUGUUGGUCUUGAGGCCGGGAGAGGUCGGAGGUACUCCUGGGGUAGCGGUGAAAUGCUCUAAUCCUAGGGGGACCACCAGUGGCGAAGGCGUCCGACCAGAACGGACCUGACGGUGAGGGGCGAAGGCUAGGGGAGCGAACGGGAUUAGAUACCCCGGUAGUCCUAGCUGUAAAGCAUGCGGGCCAGGUGUCUAGCGCUCCUUGAGGGCGCUAGGUGCCGGAGGGAAGCCGUUAAGCCCGCCGCCUGGGAAGUACGGCCGCAAGGCUGAAACUUAAAGAAAUUGGCGGGG
rnacentral:rRNA from 1 species